rnacentral:rRNA from 1 species
AUUGAACGCUGGCGGCAUGCCUUACACAUGCAAGUCGAUCGGCAGCACGGGGGCAACCCUGGUGGCGAGUGGCGAACGGGUGAGUAACAUAUCGGAACAUACCCUAGAGUGGGGGAUAACGUAGCGAAAGUUACGCUAAUACCGCAUACGAUCUAAGGAUGAAAGUGGGGGAUCUUCGGACCUCAUGCUCAUGGAGUGGCCGAUAUCUGAUUAGCUAGUUGGUGAGGUAAAGGCUCACCAAGGCGACGAUCAGUAGCUGGUUUGAGAGAACGACCAGCCACACUGGAACUGAGACACGGUCCAGACUCCUACGGGAGGCAGCAGUGGGGAAUUUUGGACAAUGGGGGCAACCCUGAUCCAGCAAUGCCGCGUGAGUGAAGAAGGCCUUCGGGUUGGUUAAAGACGUCUUUUGUUCAGGGAAGAAACGGUAGGUAGUUCUAAUACAGCUUG